GUUUCCACGCGCUUCAGAACCCUCGAGCCCCCCCUCGAGGAUUUGCUCGCCCGACUCACGCCGCCGCCCGACCCGAGACGCCGCCGCCGCCUCCUCCCAAGACGCCGCCGCCGCCUCCUCCCCAAGACGCCGCGCUGCCUCGACGCCGGCAAUCUCCUCCGGCAUACUGGACUUCUCCCCGGUGGUCCCACUGAACCAGACGUUUGCAGGGUCCCUCGAAAUCGUCUGUUUGAGAGUCUCCUCGGUUGCUUUUGUGUCUGCGCUAUUGCUGACUUGUAGUUGGAAUUUAUGCUCCUGUCAUGUACUCUCUUCCAACAAUCGCUGUAGAACAUCAAGUGAUGCUUUUCUCUAUGUUGCAUAAAUAGUUCAGCAUGCUUAUGUAUUCUCAGCAUCCUUGAAUGUACGCAUGUCUUGCCUGGGACUUGUGAAUGCCGAGAACCUACGAGACAUUUUUGGUUCUAAGUCAUGCUGAUGUGAGAGAA